rnacentral:rRNA from 1 species
CCUACGGGUGGCUGCAGUGGGGAAUAUUGGACAAUGGGCGAAAGCCUGAUCCAGUCAUGCCGCGUGUGUGAAGAAGGCCUUCGGGUUGUAAAGCACUUUCAGUGGGGAAGAAAGCCUUGGGGCUAAUACCCUCGAGGAAGGACAUCACCCACAGAAGAAGCACCGGCUAACUCCGUGCCAGCAGCCGCGGUAAUACGGAGGGUGCGAGCGUUAAUCGGAAUUACUGGGCGUAAAGCGCGCGUAGGCGGUCUGAUAAGCCGGUUGUGAAAGCCCCGGGCUCAACCUGGGAACGGCAUCCGGAACUGUCAGGCUAGAGUGCAGGAGAGGAAGGUAGAAUUCCCGGUGUAGCGGUGAAAUGCGUAGAGAUCGGGAGGAAUACCAGUGGCGAAGGCGGCCUUCUGGACUGACACUGACGCUGAGGUGCGAAAGCGUGGGUAGCAAACAGGAUUAGAUACCCUUGUAGUC